CCUACGGGUGGCAGCAGUGAGGAAUAUUGGUCAAUGGCCGCAGGGCUGAACCAGCCAAGUCGCGUGAGGGAUGACGGCUUUCGGGUUGUAAACUUCUUUUGUCAGGGACGAAGCAAGUGACGGUACCUGACGAAUAAGCCACGGCUAACUACGUGCCAGCAGCCGCGGUAAUACGUAGGUGGCAAGCGUUAUCCGGAUUUACUGGGUGUAAAGGGCGUGUAGGCGGGGAAGCAAGUCAGAUGUGAAAACCACGGGCUCAACCUGUGGCCUGCAUUUGAAACUGUUUUUCUUGAGUGCUGGAGAGGCAAUCGGAAUUCCGUGUGUAGCGGUGAAAUGCGUAGAUAUACGGAGGAACACCAGUGGCGAAGGCGGAUUGCUGGACAGUAACUGACGCUGAGGCGCGAAAGCGUGGGGAGCAAACAGGAUUAGAUACCCGUGUAGUC
rnacentral:rRNA from 1 species